CAAUAUGGUAUCUCCCAGAACCUUAAAAUGGCAUUCAGUUUUCCCAUGGACUGUUUUUGCCUGAACACCCUGGAAAGAGGUGUGAGUGACAACAGGUUCGGACUCAAUUCUACCUCAGCUGAGAAGCACCUCCCAUAUCACUAAUCCAAG